CCGGCGACCGGCGCACGGGUGAGUAACACGUAUGCAACCUGCCCUCUUCAGGGGGACAACCUUCCGAAAGGGAGGCUAAUCCCGCGUAUAUCGGUUUCGGGCAUCCGAGAUCGAGGAAAGAUUCAUCGGAAGAGGAUGGGCAUGCGGCGCAUUAGCUAGACGGCGGGGUAACGCCCACCGUGGCGACGAUGCGUAGGGGUUCUGAGAGGAAGGUCCCCCACACUGGUACUGAGACACGGACCAGACUCCUACGGAAGGCAGCAG
rnacentral:rRNA from 1 species